AGGGUGUUACAAGGAUAAGCUCUCAUCAAUUCCUUAUACCGCUCCCAUGCUUCAAAAAGUGAUUCACCUUCCAUAUUUCAGAAGUAGGUAAUCUAGUUCCUUAACUGU